CAAGAAAGUGUCCAAAAAUUGCUUGGAUAUAAGACUUGUGGCUAACACAGUCUGGAGAGAGAUGAUAAUGCAUAGGUCUAUGUGAGUGUAUGUAUGCAUAUGUGUAGGGAAGUACGCCUUUCUCAAGCUAGAACAAGUAGGCACCACAAAGCACUGCAUGGAGACAUCAGCAGACAGCCAAGGAAAGGGAAGAGAACACCUCAUGUCACCUCUGAAGCCUUGAAGUUGUGUGUAGGUGCGUUAACCUGCAUUGGCUAUUCAACAACACACCAUUCACAUGGUAUA
ensembl:processed_transcript Gm27230 predicted gene 27230